rnacentral:rRNA from 1 species
GCGCAGCAGGCGAGAAACCUCCGCAAUACACGAAAGUGUGACGGGGCCAUCCCGAGUGCCGUCCGCUGAGGACGGCUUUUCCCCAGUGUACAUAGCUGGGGGAAUAAGGAGAGGGCAAGCCUGGGUGUCAGCCGCCGCGGUAAUACCAGCUCUCCGAGUGGUGGGGACGCUUAUUGGGCCUAAAGCAUCCGUAGCCGGCU